rnacentral:rRNA from 1 species
GUACACUCCUGCGGGAGGCAGCAGUGGGGAAUAUUGAACAAUGGGCGCAAGCCUGAUCCAGCCAUGCCGCGUGAGUGAUGAAGGCCCUAGGGUUGUAAAGCUCUUUCACCGGUGAAGAUAAUGACGGUAACCGGAGAAGAAGCCCCGGCCAACUUCGUGCCAGCAGCCGCGGUAAUACGAAGGGGGCUAGCGUUGUUCGGAUUUACUGGGCGUAAAGCGCACGUAGGCGGACUAUUAAGUCAGGGGUGAAAUCCCGGGGCUCAACCCCGGAACUGCCUUUGAUACUGGUAGUCUUGAGUUCGAGAGAGGUGAGUGGAAUUCCGAGUGUAGAGGUGAAAUUCGUAGAUAUUCGGAGGAACACCAGUGGCGAAGGCGGCUCACUGGCUCGAUACUGACGCUGAGGUGCGAAAGCGUGGGGAGCAAACAGGAUUAGAAACCCCUGUAGUCCC